rnacentral:rRNA from 1 species
GACGAACGCUGGCGGCGUGCUUAACACAUGCCAGUCGAACGGAAAGGCCCUGCUUUUGUGGGGUGCUCGAGUGGCGAACGGGUGAGUAACACGUGAGUAACCUGCCCUUGACUUUGGGAUAACUUCAGGAAACUGGGGCGAAUACCGCAUAGGAGCUCCUGCUGCAUGGUGGGGGUUGGAAAGUUUCGGCGGUUGGGGAUGGACUCGCGGCUUAUCAGCUUGUUGGUGUGGUAGUGGCGUACCAAGGCUUUGACGGGUAGCCGGCCUGGGAGGGUGACCGGCGACAUUGGGACUGAGGUACGGCCCAGACUCCUACGGGAGGCAGCAGUGGGGAAUAUUGCACAAUGGGCGGAAGCCUGAUGCAGCAACGCCGCGUGCGGGAUGACGGCCUUCGGGUUGUAAACCGAUUUCGCCGGUGACGAAGCGUGAGUGACGGUAAUGGGUAAAGAAGCACCGGCUAACUACGUG